GCCUCUGUGGAUGAAUGGAAAUCACCUUGAUCCUGUAUGUUGUACUGCUCGGAUCUCGCGAGGAGAUGUGGGUUCGAAUCCCACCACAGGCA